GAUGAACGCUGGCGGCGUGCCUAAUACAUGCCAGUCGAGCGAACGGACGAGAAGCUUGCUUCUCUGAUGUUAGCGGCGGACGGGUGAGUAACACGUGGAUAACCUACCUAUAAGACUGGGAUAACUUCGGGAAACCGUAGCUAAUACCGGAUAAUAUUUUGAACCGCAUGGUUCAAAAGUGAAAGACGGUCUUGCUGUCACUUAUAGAUGGAUCCGCGCUGCAUUAGCUAGUUGGUAAGGUAACGGCUUACCAAGGCAACGAUGCAUAGCCGACCUGAGAGGGUGAUCGGCCACACUGGAACUGAGACACGGUCCAGACUCCUACGGGAGGCAGCAGUAGGGAAUCUUCCGCGAUGGGCGAAAGCCUGACGGAGCAACGCCGCGUGAGUGAUGAAGGUCUUCGGAUCGUAAAACUCUGUUAUUAGGGAAGAACAUAUGUGUAAGUAACUGUGCACAUCUUGACGGUACCUAAUCAGAAAGCCACGGCUAACUACGUG
rnacentral:rRNA from 1 species